UUUCCGUAGGUGAACCUGCGGAAGGAUCAUUACAGAGUUCAUGCCCGCAAGGAUAGACCUCACACCCUUGUGUAUUAUUACUUUGUUGCUUUGGCGAGCGCAGGCUAGCAAGAGAAGACCAAAACUCUUUUUACUAAUGUCGUAUGAGUACUAUAUAAUAGUUAAAACUUUCAACAACGGAUCUCUUGGUUCUG
rnacentral:misc_RNA from 1 species